rnacentral:lncRNA from 1 species
CUAUUAGCUCUUAGUAAGAUUACACAUGCAAGCAUCCCUGCCCCGGUGAGUCACCCUCUAAAUCACCACGAUCAAAAGGAACAAGUAUCAAGCACGCAGCAACGCAGCUCAAAACGCUUAGCCUAGCCACACCCCCACGGGAGACAGCAGUGAUAAACCUUUAGCAAUAAACGAAAGUUUAACUAAGCUAUACUAACCCUAGGGUUCGUCAAGUUCGUGCCAGCCACCGCGGUCACACGAUUAACCCAAGUCAAUAGAAACCGGCGUAAAGAGUGUUUUAGAUCAAUUCCCCUCAAUAAAGCUAAAAUUCACCUGAGUUGUAAAAAACUCCAGUUGAUACAAAAUAAACUACGAAAGUGGCUUUAACGCAUCUGAACACACAAUAGCUAAGACCCAAACUGGGAUUAGAUACCCCACUAUGCUUAGCCCUAAACUUCAACAGUUAAAUUAACAAAACUGCUCGCCAGAACACUACGAGCCACAGCUUAAAACUCAAAGGACCUGGCGGUGCUUCAUAUCCCUCUAGAGGAGCCUGUUCUGUAAUCGAUAAACCCCGAUCAACCUCACCACCUCUUGCUCAGCCUAUAUACCGCCAUCUUCAGCAAACCCUGACGAAGGCUGCAA